GUCAUGCAUCUGCUGAUGCACGAUAAAGUGCCACUGGCUUUUUUGAUGGCUUCGUCACACUGCUGACUCAUGUUCAUCUUGGAGUCCACUAGGGUCAUUAGUUUACAUUUCCUUCUUGCUUCGUGGGAAAAAGGGAACUUUUCUAUUCUGUCUUGUAAGCUUCAGCUCAACCCAGAGGCAGUGAUUGUAGGUGUCCGCAGAGACUCAGGGAAGGGGGAGAGAUUCACACCUGAGGCUCUGCUGUUGCCAGUGGCUGGUGCCCUUCUAUGGAGAUCUUUCAAGCACCCGGGAUCCUGCUUGUGUUACAUGAUCAGUGUUUACCGAGAGCAGAACGGAGGUUAAAGAUAGGGGCGCUGCGUCAGCAUUUGUGCAGGACAGGGAAACCGCAGGAGGGUUGCAAAUGCUCAAACGUUCCUCUGACAAGAGCAAGGCCUGGCUGGCAACCCCUAAAGGAGCAUCUGCCUUCUCGGGCAGUCACAGGCUCCACGGCAUGUCAGGCCGGAGAGGAGAAGUGCGCCCAGCAGCACGCGGUCCAGGUCUCUGUUCUCCCGAGCCAGCUGUCUCCCCUCCCUCUGCUGAUCAGAGGAGCCCCGUUGCACUCCUGAGUUAACGAGUGCAGGGUGGGGCCUACAAUUUGGGCACAAGACCCAAAUAUUGCUUGCCCUUUAGGUGAUGCUGUGAACCAGCACUAGGAGCAGAGUGGGGUCUCGGGGUGCCAUGUGCUGUACAAAGUAGCAGUAAUGGUCUCUGCCCCAAACAGCCCACGGGAAGGGGCAGCAUGCAAUGAUGGAGCACAAGCUAGGGAGCCCUCUGGUAGGAGCAGGGCAAUAAGCAGCCAUCAUCGCAGCAUGCCCAGGACACGGUCACUGUUGAGACUUUCAGAGGCAUCACGGCAGAAGUGAAUCCUGAGGAGGGCCCUAAAGCGAAUAGCAGGAACCUUCCCCACCCGGGCUGAGGAUGGAGAUACCUCCCUCUGGCCUGGUCCUGAGUGCCACGCUAUCCCCGCAGCAGCCAGCAGACUCCCUGCUGACUUGAAUCUGCUGCCAGGAUGGGGCUAAACUGGAUGUUAAAGGGGCAUGUAAAAAACUGAAAGGGUGGGAGGAGCACUGGCUUUUUCCUUUGAACUAUGAGUGGCGUCUUCCCUUAAGUUAAAGAACACAGUAAAUGUCCCGUAGACUGGAUACAGAUUUCCCUCACUUUAUGCAGGUUCUGUAUGUGCGAAUUUGCUCUUAUGCAAUGACCCUUUUUAUACCAAAACUUCGUUAUAUGCAAGGUAAAUGCACUCUCAUGCAAUCGGUGUGGUGGAAGCCCGCAGUUAGCUGCUUUACACGGUGCGUUAACCGAUAUGUCGUCUCCGGGGUGGAUCUGUGCUCCUCGCUUGUCGUCUGCGACACGUUUCUGCAGUUGCCACCCCCAUUAUGAUAGUGCCCUGUGCUUGUGUGCACUGUCUGCUGUUGGGGAGGACCAAAAUUGUCUUGUAAAAGUGGUGGAAAUGGGUCUUGGGGUCAGUACAGUCGAGGUCUUGGAACGUAUCCCUGCUUGUUACAUUGUAAAGUGGGUUCCCUUUAUGCUAAUUUGAGUUAUGUGCCGUUUUCCAGGAGCAUAUGUACAGCACAAAGUGAGGAAAACCUGUGCAGCCCAUCAUACAAGCCAUGAAAGGUUAAGUGGGGGGAGUGCUAAUUACCUCCCCCAGCUGCAACCAAGCAACCCAUUAGAAACAGGUGCAGUAGGAGGCUGCAGGCCAGGUAGAAGGGGGCAGCAGGCUGCUCUGGAGGGCUUUGGAGGCACAGGCUGAGAGCAGCUGCGGAAAGAGCAAGGAGGGGAGCAGGACCACCAGGCAGGGCAGGUAUCAUCUCUGAACCAAGAGGUCUGGAUUUUUGCACCAGAAAAGACGAAGUGAUUUGCCCAAGGUCACAGCGGACACCCAGGGCAGAGCCAAGAGCUGAGUCUGAAUCUCCCCAGAGCCAGUCACCCCUUCACACAGAGCCAGCAACAGGGUGCUCACACAGCUUGUCCACCAGCCGUCUUACCCCGGGUGGUCCUCCGAGCACAGCCCGAGGCGUAUGUGCGUGACACAGUAUUGAGAAAGCCGGCGGCCAGUCUACAAGAGAACAUCCGCUAUUGCAAGCACCGGAGAAGCUACAUCAGCAGUAGAGCCAUGGCUGCAGAAUGGUGCGUGGCUCUGACCUAGCGGUGAAGCCCGUGUAGAGGACAUUGGAGUACAAGGUGAAAACCACCCUUUUAAUGGACUUGCCCGUCUGGUUGUCGAUCUCGGUGGUGAAGGUGAUGUUCUCACUGGGGCAG